CAAAAUGUAGCUUAAUAAAAGCCCCCCGCUUACAACGAGGAAAUGUCUGUUUAACUCAGACCAUCUUGAG
rnacentral:tRNA from 1 species